rnacentral:lncRNA from 1 species
CCCUGAGAAUAUUUUCACAUCAAACAAUUAGAAUCACGAAAUUGCAACGAUAAACACCAAAAUCGAGCAGCACACCUAUAUCAUAUUCCCGAUACUCAAGAAGUACAUUUUGCAAUAUAAAACUCUGAAAUUAUAUUUUUCUUAUUUACACAAGAAGCCCCGGGAAACAAGUUAUUUACAAGUAUAAAUAAUAAAGUAAAUACAUUUUAUGUGGUCAUAUUCUUUAUUAUGCACAUUCAAAUAGCUACAUGUUUGAAGAAGUGUUACAUAUUCGGCAUCACAUUCUGAUCAAACCUUAUUUUGAUAAAUAAAAAUCUAGACAAACUGAAAACGUGUUCUUUAUACUUCUAUAUUCAUUUUUUACAUUAAAUUUAGGAUUUCUUUUUUUCGAGAAGUCAGCGUAUUGAUGACAUGUACAUAUAUGUUCAUUAUUCGCCAUACCCUGUUCCUCGUGAGAAGGGGCAUCCAGGAUAAGCAAAUCUAUUUAUAAAAACCACAAAAAUAAAUGUAAAGAAUUUUGUGAAUUGAUUAAUAGUUUUAGUGGACAAAAAUAAUAAGACAAAACAAAUGAAUAACAAAUCAUAAUCAAUGACAUACACAUGCUACAUUUCAUUUAAAAAUAAACAUGUACAUUAUUGAAAAAAUAAGCGAACAAAAGUUUACAAAAAAUAAACAAUUGUGUACAAAAGUGAAAAUAUGUUUGUGUGCGGCGCGUGCGUGUCAAUACGCCGCUUCCCUAUCCCACCAAGCAUAUCAAAUGGUUUUAAGUUAAAGGAGAAUGACCCGUGGUUCUUUACAUGUUUAGCUGAAACUGAAUAUAAACACAAUUUAACAAAAAUAAA